AACAAAGGCAAAGAGUAUUAUAAAAAAGGGGGCGGGCAAAGAGUAAAAUAUUAAAAUAAAGAGGAGGAGCUUCUGGUUCUAUCCAAAUGGCCCCACAAUCCAAGAGCUUUACCCUUUUUCUCAGACCAACCAUGAUUUUCUCUUCCUUGUUCCUUCUCUUCUUCUUCUUCUUCUUCUUCUUCUUCUUAGGAAUCCCAAAUAAACCUACCCUACCACUUUGCCUCUCCUUUUUCACCCUUCCCGAAUAUCAUCUCUCUUGUCUAUCUUGCAAUCCUCCUUUUAGUUUUUACCUAUCCAAAGUUUCAAAUUGUCCUUCAAUUUCCUUCACAUUUUGUCUCUAUUUCCAUACAAUUCACUGUUCUUUUUUUUUUUUUUUCCUUUUCCCCUUUUUUCUCAGUUUCAUUUACAAAUUACCAUUUUCCAAACUGGAUAGUCUCUGAGUUAUUGUAAAAUCUGUUUAAUUUUGAGUCAAAAGGAUUCAUUUUGACAUCUGAGUGUUGGUCGAUUUGAGUUGUUAAGAGUCGGUUUAGGUGUUGAAGCCUUUCUUUUUUUACUUCAGUCAAAACAAACCAUUGUUGCUUUAUGGGUUUGUUAAACUUCGAGUUUUUAGUGGUGGGUUGUAAUUUUAGUGGUGUGAUUCCUAAGAUCUCUGGGUGAAUUGUAUGUAGAAGUGAGUGUUGGUCAUUGUGUUGUAGUUGUUAUUAUUAUUAUUAUUUGAGUGAGAAAACAAAACAAUGAAGAGAGGUAAAGAUGAUGAGAAGAUUAUGGGGCCUAUGUUCCCUAGACUUCAUGUUAAUGAUACCGAGAAAGGAGGGCCAAGAGCUCCUCCAAGGAAUAAGAUGGCCCUUUAUGAGCAUCUCAGUAUUCCUUCACAGAGGUUUAACCCUGGAGUCUUGCCUCUUAACCCAAGUAAUACAAGCAGUUUGGUUCCUCCUCGUUCCUCAAGCGAGGGGAGUAGCCUUGAAAGAAAUAUGCUUUUCCCGUCCCAUGUAUCUCCUUCCACAUCCACUACUCUGGCUGAGAAGUUUCAUACUCGCCAGCUUGGAGGAGCAAGUGCAAAUGGUCCUGUGUCACGCCUUGAACGGAGAAGGAAGGUCAGACUCAGAGAUGAAGAUGAUUUCAUGGUUCCUGUAUUUGUUAACUCAGAGACAGGUCAAGAACGUAAUAAAACUAAGAAUGGCUUUGAUGGGGAAAAACUCACUUCCUUGAGCCCAAUUGAUCCUGGCCAUCAAAUAAAGCUCCACAAUGUUUGUGAUAUGGAUCCAAAUCAGAGUAGCUCUUCUGUUGUCAAUUUAAGAAAAGAGGUUAAAGACCCGAGUGAAGAGAGCUCAAAAGUGUGCUCAAGUAGGAAGUGUUCAGUAAAAACUGCUGCAGAGUUAGCAAAUAGAGAAAAUAUUGAUGGACGUGUUAAAGAAGCCAAUGUGUCUCCUGAUCAGGAUUGUGGACAGCACCCUGCAUCUAGACCUAGCAGAUCUCAUGUAAAUGAUGUUUGUUCGCUACAAGAGUUGAGAGCUGGCAGACAAUUGGCUGAUAACGGAUGCAUUGAUGGUGCUGACUUUAUGAUAGAUAUUGGUGGGGAAAUUCUUCCCCGGCAGAGAAGCAUGUCUUAUUCAGAGGGGAAUCACAGUGUUCCUGGUGAAACUAAUAAUGGCAGUGAAUGCCGUGAAGACAGGACUUGUAGGGCACUACCAUUGGCAAAUGGAGAUAAAAGUGAUGAUGUCUCAGAGACCUUAGUGGUAGAUUCUAUAUCAGGCUUAGAUAUCUCUCCUGAUGAUAUGGUGGGAAUAAUAGGUCAGAAGCAUUUCUGGAAGGCAAGAAGAGCGAUUGUCAAUCAACAAAGAGUAUUUGCAGUACAAGUGUUUGAGUUGCAUAGACUGAUUAAGGUUCAGAGACAAAUUGCUGGGUCACCGCAUCUCUUACUUGAGGAUAUGACAUAUCUGGGCAAACCCUGUUCCAAAGGCUCUCCUGCAAAGAAGCUUCCACCAGAGUUUAUCGUAAAACCACAGUCACACACCAAGUGCAAAGAUGACUCUGAGAAGCCAAGUCAUAAAAUGGAAUGUUCAGCAGAAAAUGUGGUUGGUAGGACAUCCCUCUCUUCAGUGACAAAUGGUAUUCAGCCCUCAAAUUAUGGGCCUUUCUUCGGAAACCAACCACCUGCACCAAUUAAUGGUGAUAACAAAAUUUCUCCUUGGUGUUUCCAUCAGGUGCCUGGGCACCAAUGGCUUGUUCCUGUCAUGCCCCCUUCUGAAGGAUUGAUAUACAAGCCCUUUCCUGGACCUGGAUUCAUGGGUUCCAUUUGCGGAGGAUGUGGACCUUUCAGACAAACUCCAAUGACAACCAACUUUAUGACUUCUUACGGAGUUCCUGCUCCUUCUCAUCAAGGAAUUGGGGUUCUACCAGGUGCUCCUCCGGUUGGUUACACUUACUUUCCUCCUUAUGGGAUGCCAGUCAUGAACCCAGCAGUCUCGGGUUCUGCUAUGAAACAAAUGAACCAAUUUGCUGGACCUGGUUCCCAUGCCCAUAGUGGCCAAUUAUCUGGAGUUGGAGUUAACUUUAACAUGCAACAUCAAAGUUCAUGUAAUUUGUCUAGCGAGGAGAAUGGUGGUAUUUCUCAUGUCAUGAAGUUUCAGGCAUCUAAAGACGCUGAGCUACAAGGGAGUACAACAAGCAGUCCUGCUGAGAAAGUGGAGGGAGAUGGGGCCAGUAGUGCUGCUGAAGGAAAAAAUGCACUUCCACUUUUCCAUACAGCUCCAACCACUCCAAAGGGAGCCUCUCAGCCUCAUGAUACCAACCAGAGGACAAGAGUGAUAAAAGUUGUGCCUCAUAAUCCAUUAUCAGCCUCUGAAUCAGCAGCUCGUAUUUUCCAAUCUAUACAGAAAGAGAGAAAAAAAAAUGGAGUUUAGCUUGUGUAUAUCAAACAAAGUAUUACUGCUGAAAUGUGAGAGGUGGAGAGUUGAGCCAGAAAGAAACAUGUGUCAGCUUGGGCGAAACUGUUCCUCUUUCAGUGGGCAAAGGAACCACCAAUGUCGUUCAGAAGUGCAAGUUUUGUAUGAGGGAAGGAACUGUAACAAUGAUCUCAGGCUGAGGUCAACCAUCGACCCAGGAAGAAAGUGAAGGAAAAUAUGCCCCUUUGAUGCGUUUUGAUUGCACGGGUUAUGAGACUGUAGGUUUUGUAUUUGGUGGUGGCUGGAGGGUUGAAUCUGUAAGUCUUUGUUCAUCAUCCUCCACCCUAGAUGCUAUUUUUAUUAGGUAGCAGAAAUUGUGAAAAUAGCUUAUUAUAGCAAGGGCUUUGGAAUGCAUAUUUUGUUAUUUAUCAAUUUUCCAGUUCCA